GUGCCUUCAGCAGCACAUAUAGUAAAGUUGGAAUGAUUCAGAGAAGAUUAGCCUGACCCCUUUGCAAGAAUGACGCGCAAAUUGGUGAAGCGAUCCAUAUUUUG